UCUCCAUCAAAGCAACAAUAUCAGAUUCAUCUUUCUCUUUUUUUCACUUUGCUCAGACUUGAGUUUUGAAUCAAUUCAGGUUUGUCAAUUGAUUUUUUAUAUGCGUUUAAACAUUAGACAAACAACUUUCUCUCUACGACUCUAUCUCUUCCUUGUACAGAAAGUCAUACUAACUAUUGAUUUGUUCAAUGAUUGCAGGAAGAUGACUUCGAAUCGAAUAAGACACUAGCCAGGAGGAGCAUCAAAAGUAAGAAAAAAGAAGAGACAAGAGAAAUUAACAAAAUCAAUGGAAAACUCGAUGUUGAGAAACUUGUGAAGAUGAAAUUGGUGAACAUGGUGAUGAACACGAGUGUGGAGAGAAAAAGAAUGAGAAUGCGAAUGAGAGUGAUAUGGAGAUUGAAACUGAGAUUGAGAGUGAUAAUGGGAAUGAUGAGAAACUUGAUUAUAAAAGCUUGAUGAAUGAGUUUGCAGGAAGAAAUGCAUUGAGAAUUGUUAGAUUUGAAGAA